UGUGUGUGUGUAUGUGUGUGUAUAUAUGUGUAUAUAUAUAUAUAUAUAUAUAUAUACACACAUACACACACACAUA